AACCUAAUAAGAACACUUUGAGCUUUUCAAAUAUAUAUUUCUUUCCUAAGACAUUUUUAGUAAUGCAGAGAUAUUCUGCAUUAUUUUCAUUUAAAUUCAGGAUAUCCAUUUCAACGGAUAUCUUUAAAGCUUAACAAAUUCCUUUUAAAUCUUACUAAAUAUAAAGUAUUUUGAAUUAUUAAUUUUGUUCCAUUUGCCAACAAGAGUAUGCUCUUCCGGAGCCUUUUAUCAAGUCUGCAGGAUCAGAUAUAGUAUUUACAUUUCCUUCAAAUUAUUUUAUCUCUAAUAAAUAUUUUAUAUUUUGAAGAAUAGUAUGU
rnacentral:lncRNA from 1 species